CGACGCCGCGGGGAGGAAGAAGCCCUUCGGGGUGUAAACUCCUUUUGUCAGGGAAAAAAAGUGAUGGUCCGUGACGAAUAAGACCCCGCUAUAUAUGUGCCCGCACCCGCGGUAAUAUAUAGGGGGCGAGCGUUACCUCGAAUCACUGGGCGUAAAGGGUGCGUAGGCGGCGGAGUGUGUCUCGCGUUAAAAUCCACGGCUCAACUGUGGGUAUGCGCUGGAAACUCCUUGGCUUGAGUGCAGCAGAGGCAGACGGAACUGCUGGUGUAGAGGUGAAAUUUGUAGAUAUCAGCAGGAACCCCGGUGGAGAAGUCGGUCUGUUGGGCUGUAACUGACGGUGACGCACGAAAGCUAGGGGAGCAAACCGGAUUAGAUACCCGGGUAGUCCUAGCCGUAAACUAUGCUCACUUGGUGUGGGGGGCGAAGAGUACUCCGUGCUGAAGCUAACGCGUUAAGUGAGCCGCCUGGGGGAGUAUGCCCGCAAGGGUGAUACUCAAAGGAAUUGACGGGGGCCCGCACAAGCAGUGGAGCGUGUGGUUUAAUUGGAAGGUAAGCCAAGAACCUUCCCAGGGCUUGACAUGCUGGUGGUACCGAGCUGAGAGGUGAGGGACGCUGCCGAAAGGCAGCGAGCCAGCACAGGUGGUGCACGGUCGUCGUCAGCUCGUGCCGUGAGGUGUUGGGUUAAGUCCCGCAACGAGCGCAACCCCUGCUCUUAGUUGCCAGCACUUAGGGUGGGCACUGUAAGGGGACUGCCGGCGACGAGCCGGAGGAAGGAGGGGAUGACGUCAGAUACUCGUGCCCCUUAUGUCUUGGGCGACACACGCGCUACAAUGGGAUGGACAGCGGGAAGAGAGGCAGCGAUGCUGAGCAAAGCCCUUAAACCAUCCCCCAGUUCAGAUUGUGGGUUGAAACCCGCCCACAUGAAGCCGGAAUUGGUAGUAAUCGCGGAUCAGCCAUGCCCCGGUGAAUACGUUCCCGGGCCUUGUACACACCGCCCGUCAAGCCACCCGAGUUGCGGGCACCCGAAGACGGUGACUCUUAGGGGCGCCGUUGAGGGUGAACGUGGUGAGGGGGGC
rnacentral:rRNA from 1 species